UUUUUUCCUAUAUUAAUGUCACUUUAUAAUGACUCUUCAGGUCUGCCAACUGUUACCAGGUGUCUCUGCUUUCCAUCCUCCAAAAUUUGGCUCCUUUGAUAUCUUCUUUAACUUUCUUUAUCCAUAGGGUUCAUGGCACUUUCCCUCAAAAUAGCUUUGAUGUAAUUAUAGAGGGAAAAGUUAAGAAAGAUCAAAAUUAGACAUGUUUUAUUCUAUUAAUUUUUUCUAGAAGCUUCCGUUUCUUGCACUUUUGAUAAUUUCAUCACGUUCCUAAUGGUUACCAGUUAUUUGGGGAAGUUGGUUGUUCAGGCGAAAGGGACAGCUCUAACCUAUUUUCUUCCCACCUUUCCUUGUGCCUUGCUGGGGCUAGAGCUCGGUGGUAGAACAUGGGUUCCCCAAGCCCUGAGGUCAAUCCCCAACAUAAAAAAAAAAGAGUUAGUUGUAGCCACCAACCAACCAAGUCAUGUGGAAAAGUAAGCUAUUAGUAUUGAGAAGAGGCCCACUCAAGAAAGACAGCUCUUGAAUGAGAGAAGAAACUGGGCGUGGUUGCCUGUGCCUAUAAUCCAGACUUCUCCAGAGGCUGAGACACGGGAAUGGCAAGUUCAAGGCUAGCCUAGAGAACAUAGAAGAUCCCAUCUCAAAAACUAAAACUUAUAAAAGGAUGGGGGAAAGGUUUUUAUAAAUCCAGAGUGGUGUCAUUGGAAUGUAAGGAUUUUUGAAGAGCAACCAGCUUUCUUGGAUUAUAGAACCAGAAAGAAACUGAAAUGCUUUCUCUUUU
rnacentral:lncRNA from 1 species